UACGUAGGGGGCUAGCGUUGUCCGGAAUCACUGGGCGUAAAGGGUCCGCAGGCGGAAAUGCAAGUCAGAUGUAAAAGGUAGUAGCUUAACUACUGAAAGCAUUUGAAACUGCAUAUCUUGAGAAGAGUAGAGGUAAGGGGAAUUUCUAGUGUAGCGGUGAAAUGCGUAGAUAUUAGAAAGAAUACCGGUGGCGAAGGCGACUGCCUGGGC
rnacentral:rRNA from 1 species